UAGAGAUGGAUUGGUGGCCUUCGGGAACUCUGACACAGGUGCUGCAUGGCUGUCGUCAGCUCGCGUCGUGAGAUGUUGGGUUAAGUCCGUAACGAGCGCAACCCUUGUCCUUAGUUACCAGCACGUUAUGGUGGGCACUCUAAGGAGACUGCCGGUGACAAACCGGAGGAAGGUGGGGAUGACGUCAAGUCAUCAUGGCCCUUACGGCCUGGGCUACACACGUGCUACAAUGGUCGGUACAAAGGGUUGCCAAGCCGCGAGGUGGAGCUAAUCCCAUAAAACCGAUCGUAGUCCGGAUCGCAGUCUGCAACUCGACUGCGUGAAGUCGGAAUCGCUAGUAAUCGUGAAUCAGAAUGUCACGGUGAAUACGUUCCCGGGCCUU
rnacentral:rRNA from 1 species